rnacentral:rRNA from 1 species
UCNUCUGGCUUAACUGGGGGCUUGCGGUGGGUACGGGCCGGCUUGAGUGCGGUAGGGGAGACUGGAACUCCUGGUGUAGCGGUGGAAUGCGCAGAUAUCAGGAAGAACACCGGUGGCGAAGGCGGGUNUCUGGGCCGUUACUGACGCUGAGGAGCGAAAGCGUGGGGAGCGAACAGGAUUAGAUACCCUGGUAGUCCACGCCGUAAACGUUGGGCACUAGGUGUGGGGGGCCUUUUCCGGGUCUUCCGCGCCGUAGCUAACGCAUUAAGUGCCCCGCCUGGGGAGUACGGCCGCAAGGCUAAAACUCAAAGGAAUUGACGGGGGCCCGCACAAGCGGCGGAGCGUGCGGAUUAAUUCGAUGCAACGCGAAGAACCUUACCAAGGCUUGACAUGUGCCGGUCGGCUCCGGAGACGGGGUUUCCUCCUUGUGGGGCCGGUUCACAGGUGGUGCAUGGUUGUCGUCAGCUCGUGUCGUGAGAUGUUGGGUUAAGUCCCGCAACGAGCGCAACCCUUGUCCCGUGUUGCCAGCACGUUGUGGUGGGGACUCGCGGGAGACUGCCGGGGUCAACUCGGAGGAAGGUGGGGAUGACGUCAAAUCAUCAUGCCCCUUAUGUCUUGGGCUUCACGCAUGCUACAAUGGCCGGUACAGAGGGCUGCGAUACCGUGAGGUGGAGCGAAUCCCUUAAAGCCGGUCUCAGUUCGGAUCGGUGUCUGCAACUCGACACCGUGAAGUUGGAGUCGCUAGUAAUCGCAGAUCAGCAACGCUGCGGUGAAUACGUUCUCGGGCCUUGUACACACCGCCCGUCACGUCAUGAAAGUCGG